AAGCCCCCUUAAAUCCCAGGAUGCAGCAGGGAUUGAUGCUGAUGUAGCCAAGCCAGCCUGAGAAUGGCUGAGUCAUCAAACAAACAAUGGGAUAUGCACCAUUAGCAGAGACUCUGCACCAGACAGGUGGGGCAUCUCUUCUGUGCUGGUUAGAAGAGUUGUGUUUCAGAAUGGCAGUUGGGGAUAAUGAAAGCAGGAGGAAAAAUGGAUUUGCAAUGUGCAACCAGCAGCAAGCUGAAAAGGAGAGGGUCAGAGCACUAUGGGGGCUGACAGUGGGAAUCCAAGAUGGCAGCCAUGUGAAAAACACAUCCCCUCCAACAUUUCUCCAGUGAAAAUAGGGCCAUCCUAUUCCAUACCUUCCAACAUUUCUCCAAUGAAAAUAGGGACAUCCUACCAUACCCUCCAACAUUUCUCCAAUGAAAAUAGGGAUGUCAUAUGGAAAAGCGGGACAUUCCAGGAUCAAAUCAGAAACUGGGACGGUUUCUCUAAAUCCGGGACUGUCCCUGGAAAAUAGGGGUGCUUGGAGGGGCUGGAAACGGGACCCCCUUGACAUGUAAUGCCAGAAGUCCUUCCAUCAUGGGCUCAGGUUUUAUAUGUUUGUAAAUAAACCAUAUAUCAUGAAGACACCACAGUCUCCACUGUGCCUCAUUUCCAAAAGGAAGCCCGAACCCUGGAAUCUCGCACCACUCAGAGACUGGGGUGGUGUGUAACAAUACUUAUGGACAAUGAGAGAUGCAUAAAUGAUUGCAUCUCAGAUCCCCACAGAUCACCUGCUGCUCAAAUCUAGGAGCAAGGGUUCCUCUGAAAUCACCACCCUAGUUUCUGUCUAGAUUUUGGAGUUCUAGGUCAGCUUGUUUCCAAACCAGUACUGAAGAAGAUAUCAGGACCUGCUUCUGUUGGACUGUUUGCUCUUCCCUACAGGUUCAUCUUCCACCAACUGCCCUGUGGGAAAGAUCUUUGGAAAGCAAGGGCAGCAUGAGAAGCGUAACCAGGGCCUGGUCCUCCUAGACUACACUCUGGUCCCCAUGGAGCCAUUUACUACCAACUGCCUGUGGAAAGGAUGCUGAUGUCUUUUGAUAUGUUGCUAUUGCGGUA